AUUGAACGCUGGCGGCAUGCCUUACACAUGCAAGUCGAACGGUAACGGGUCCUUCGGGAUGCCGACGAGUGGCGAACGGGUGAGUAAUAUAUCGGAACGUGCCCAGUAGUGGGGGAUAACUGCUCGAAAGAGCAGCUAAUACCGCAUACGACCUGAGGGUGAAAGGGGGGGAUCGCAAGACCUCUCGCUAUUGGAGCGGCCGAUAUCAGAUUAGCUAGUUGGUGGGGUAAAGGCCUACCAAGGCAACGAUCUGUAGUUGGUCUGAGAGGACGACCAGCCACACUGGGACUGAGACACGGCCCAGACUCCUACGGGAGGCGGCAGUGGGGAAUUUUGGACAAUGGGCGCAAGCCUGAUCCAGCAAUGCCGCGUGCAGGAAGAAGGCCUUCGGGUUGUAAACUGCUUUUGUCAGGGAAGAAAUCUUCUGGGCUAAUACCCCGGGAGGAUGACGGUACCUGAAGAAUAAGCACCGGCUAACUACGUG
rnacentral:rRNA from 1 species